CGAACGCUGGCGGCAGGCUUAACACAUGCAAGUCGAACGGUUGUAGCAAUACAGCAGUGGCGCACGGGUGAGUAACGCGUGGAUAUCUGCCUUUGGUUCGGAAUAACUCCGGGAAACUGGAGCUAAUACCGGAUGGUUCCUGCGGGAUAAAGAUUUAUCGCCAAAAGAUGAGUCCGCGUACGAUUAGCUAGUUGGUGAGGUAAUGGCUCGCCAAGGCGACGAUCGUUAGCUGGUCUGAGAGGACGAUCAGCCACACUGGGACUGAGACACGGCCCAGACUCCUACGGGAGGCAGCAGUGGGGAAUAUUGGACAAUGGGGCAACCCUGAUCCAGCCAUGCCGCGUGAGUGAUGAAGGCCUUCGGGUUGUAAAGCUCUUUUGGCGGGGACGAUGAUGACGGUACCCGCAGAAUAAGCCCCGGCUAACUUCGUG
rnacentral:rRNA from 1 species